UACGGGGGGGGCAAGCGUUGUUCGGAAUUACUGGGCGUAAAGGGUUUGUAGGUGGCUUGCUAAGUCAGACGUGAAAUCCCUCAGCUUAACUGGGGAACUGCGUCUGAUACUGGCGAGCUUGAGUGCAGGAGAGGAACGCGGAAUUCCAGGUGUAGCGGUGAAAUGCGUAGAUAUCUGGAGGAACACCGAUGGCGAAGGCAGGUCUCUGGGCUGUAACUGACGCUGAGGAGCGAAAGCAUGGGGAGCGAACAGG
rnacentral:rRNA from 1 species